UACUAUAAAUGUAUACCUAGUUGUGGCAGCGGGGGCGUGGUCAAGCAUCUCUCCGGAGAGAGAGAAAGCGGUAAGGGCGCUUACACCUGAGCUAAAUUAUGUCUAACACCUGUCUCUAAUUUCAGUGAGCACGGGGAGAGCGGCAUAAAGAGGGCCACGCAGCACUCAGCAUUUGAAGAAGCUGAUAUUUUUGACUGGAAGGACAGGCUGGUGGGAUUUGGCAGCAAUCGAGCAGCUGUUAAUGUGGGGUGCAGGAAUGGUGUGUCAGCCCAACAUUUAAAGGACAUACCUCACCUCAUAACAAUUCACUGUGUAGCUCAUAGCUUGUAGCUGGGUGUGAUGAAAGCUAUUAAAGAUCACAACAUGGCCCAGCUUCAGACCACCUUGAGGCAGAUGUAUGAGCAAUACCACUUCUCCCCCAAGGCCCUCAGAGAGCUCCUCUUCAUCGCUGAGGCCCUGGUGGAGAAGGUACUUAAGCCAUCUAAUCUGCACGGAGCCCGAUGGCUGCCAUAUGUGCAUCGUGCAAUGAAGUUACCCUGUAUUUCUGGCCCAUUUUGAAGACAUGGCGUGCAUGGAAAGGAAACCUAAGCCAUUACCGACAGUUGUGGGAUGGGCAAAGCAACUUACAAACUACUUGCGCAACAUCAGCAAUGUCUUGUUCCCACACUUCAUGUGUGGCACACUGGACCACCUCACAGUACUAAGCAAGGAGUUCCAGAAAGACACAACCAGCAUCAGUCAAGGUACUGAAAGCAUUGAAAAAUGCUUCUGGAACACAACUGCCCUCAAAACAGACAUGGACUUACAAAUGAGCCAUGUACAUGAGGCACUGAGGGAAAAUGGUGUGUAAAUAGGAGUGAAGUUUCCUGGUACAUCACCACCAUCCAUGGAGGAAGUGAGGGCAAAAGUGAUAGGUAAGAAAUGAGGUAUUAGGUAGAUUAUGUACAUUGACCUUGUAACUUAAAGCAGUCAGUGAAUUGGUUUAGUCCAAACAGAUGCCAUCAUCUUACAUUUAGAGGAGAGGAUGAAGGACCUAGAGAGAGGCAGUCCGGUCAACAGAUUUAGGGCCUAGCUCAGCUGCAGUGACUGCUGUUGUUAUCAGUAGAGGGCCCAGCACUUUGAUGCCAGAAUGCCAGUGGAGAGGUGGUGGAUCAGCAGACAAAGGCGACAUCGACCAGGGUUUAACCACUUGGAUACAGAGCUGGAUAAAUUGCAGGGCUGAAUGUAACAUACACACACACACACACACACACACACACACACACAUUGGUGCGGCUAUCCUUAUGAGGACUCUCCAUUGACGUAAUGAUUUUUAUACUUUACAAACUAUAGAUUCUAUCCCCUAACCUUAACCCUAAACCCUAAACCUCACAAAAAACCUUCUGCAUUUUUACAUUUUCAAAAAAACAUAGUUAAAAAAACCACAGAAAGCUCACACCUACCUCCCAGCAGACAGGACUUCACAAGUUCGUUGAGCCCAAACCUGUAUACAUCUUUGAGCUCGAUGUCGCCCCAGUUCGUACAGCUCGCCAGCGCACAGAACAGCUCUGUGUAUUCCUCUAUUCAUCACAAACAUCAGUGAAUCACAUGAAUGAAAAUGUCGCAAUUUAAGUGAAAAUGUAAAAUUGUAUUAACAUAACCACCUCUUCAGGGUGAUUUGACAUGUUCAAUACCAGUGUAUCUAAGAGUUGAAAUAUUAUGUAAUUUCCAAUUAAAAUGAACUGCCAUAGGAGUCUUUUGAUCAUUUGUAUGUAUACUAAUUCAGUGUUCCGCAAUCCUUGUUUUUAGAGCACGUUGUGUUUUUCCAAUAUAGGCUAAUACACGAGGACAUUUAAUCAUGGAAACAACGUUCUUUGUAGUACAAUUGAUGACACCCUUGAUUUUGAAUUCUUUACCCAAAUGGGGAUGGGAAAAAACAUAAAUUUUAACGGUACUAACGAAGUAAACAAGACACACCUGGGAACAAUCAUUGUGAACACAGAACAGAAACAACAAGAAGAGUGCUACACAAGAAUUUCAAAAUAAAAGACAUAACAAAACCAAAGUCCAAGGUCAAACACUACAUAAUGUUACAAUAUGUACAUAUGUAUUUCUUUGUUUGUGCUCUUGCCAGAUAUCUUGGUUUAAGUCUACCAUAGGGUAAUGG